GACGAACAGUGCGAGCGUUAUUCGGAUUUAUUGGGCGUAAAGGGUACGUAGGUGGCCAUUUAAAUGAAGUGCGAAAGGCUAGGGUAUAACCUUAGAAAUUGUUCUUUAAUAUUAUUUGGCUUUGAGUUAAGGAGAGGUUGGAACAAAUUCUAGUGUAGGGUUAAAAUUCUUCAAUAUUAGAAUGAAUACCAAGGGCGAAGGCAUCUUCUGGCUUAACUGACGCUGAUGUACGGAAGCGUGG
rnacentral:rRNA from 1 species